GCUGGGCGUGGUGGUGGGCGCCUAGAGUCCCCGCUACUCGGGAGGCUGAGGCAGGGGAAUCACUUGAACCCAGGAGGCAGAGGUUGCAGUGAGCUGAGAUUGUGCCACUGCACCCCUGCCUGGGUGACAGAGUGAGACCCUGUCUCAA
rfam:Pan troglodytes isolate Yerkes chimp pedigree #C0471 (Clint) chromosome 3, whole genome shotgun sequence.